rnacentral:tRNA from 1 species
UUUUAAUAGUUUAAAAAAAAUAUUAAAUUGCAAAUUUAAAGAUAAUUUUUAAAAAAUUUUAAGAUU